GAUGAACGCUGGCGGCGUGCCUAAUACAUGCAAGUCGAGCGAACGGACGAUAAGCUUGCUUCUCUGAUGUUAGCGGCGGACGGGUGAGUAACACGUGGAUAACCUACCUAUAAGACUGGGAGAACUUCGGGAAACCGGAGCUAAUACCGGAUAAUAUUUUGAACCGCAUGGUUCAAAAGUGAAAGACGGUCUUGCUGUCACUUAUAGAUGGAUCCGCGCUGCAUUAGCUAGUUGGUAAGGUAACGGCUUACCAAGGCAACGAUGCAUAGCCGACCUGAGAGGGUGAUCGGCCACACUGGAACUGAGACACGGUCCAGACUCCUACGGGAGGCAGCAGUAGGGAAUAUUCCGCAAAGGGCGAAAGCCUGACGGAGCCACGCCGCGUGAGUGAUGAAGGUCUUCGGAUCGUAAAACUCUGUUAUUAGGAAAGAACAUAUGUGUAAGUAACUGUGCACAUCUUGACGGUACCUAAUCAGAAAGCCACGGCUAACUACGUG
rnacentral:rRNA from 1 species